AAAUGCAUAGAUCUAGUGGAGGAAGCUGUAACUCUUCCAGUUCAUCAACUACAAGGCGAAAGGUAUAUGGUGAAUGGAUUUCGAUUCAAGUUUGUGAAUGUGGGCAAGAAAUGGUUUUGAGAACAUCUUGGACCAAUGAGAACCCGGGAAGGAGGUACUGGGAAUGUUUAGGAUGCAAGGAUGGAUUCGUGGCUUGGUUCGAUCCCCCAAUGUGCCCUAGGUCAAAGAAGAUUAUACCGGGCUUAUUGAAGA